rnacentral:rRNA from 1 species
CCUACGGGUGGCAGCAGUGGGGAAUAUUGGACAAUGGGGGGAACCCUGAUCCAGCCAUGCCGCGUGUGUGAAGAAGGCCCUCGGGUUGUAAAGCACUUUCAGUGAGGAAGAACGCCUGGUGGUUAAUACCCAUCAGGAAAGACAUCACCCAAAGAAGAAGCACCGGCUAACUCCGUGCCAGCAGCCGCGGUAAUACGGAGGGUGCGAGCGUUAAUCGGAAUUACUGGGCGUAAAGCGCGCGUAGGUGGCUUGAUAAGCCGGUUGUGAAAGCCCCGGGCUCAACCUGGGAACGGCAUCCGGAACUGUCAAGCUAGAGUGCAGGAGAGGAAGGUAGAAUUCCCGGUGUAGCGGUGAAAUGCGUAGAGAUCGGGAGGAAUACCAGUGGCGAAGGCGGCCUUCUGGACUGACACUGACACUGAGGUGCGAAAGCGUGGGUAGCAAACAGGAUUAGAUACCCCUGUAGUC